CAGGCGCGCAACUUACCCUAAUCUCGAUUCGAGGAGGUAGUGACAAGAAAUACCGAUGCGGGACCCUACGGGGUGCCGCGUUCGGAAUGAGUACGAUUCGAACCACCUAACGAGGAACGAUCGGAGGGCAAGUCUGGUGCCAGCAGCCGCGGUAAUUCCAGCUCCAAUAGCGUACGUUAAAGUUGCUGCAGUUAAAAAGCUCGUAGUUGAACGUUCGGGUUCCGCGGGACGGGGCCGCCCCGCGAGGGACGGCGCCGCCCCGGGGCUCGUGAUAUCUUAUCUCGCCGCCCGUCGCGAGGCGGACGGAGGGAUGGAUGAGGUUACCUGGAAAAAAUCGGGGCGAUCUAGGCGGGCGAACCUCGCCAACGAACGAUCGGACAUGGGAUAACGGAAGAGGGCG
rnacentral:rRNA from 1 species